rnacentral:tRNA from 1 species
GGCGUAACUCAGUUGGUAGAGUGGUAGCUUCCCAAGCUGCAUGUCGUGAGUUCGAAUCUCAUCAGCGUCU